GAGCACAGGGGUUUGUGGUCUGUGACUCAAUUCCUGUCAGAUCCUUGAGCUAGACAGAAAACGUAUUUUUUGUCUUCACGUGUGAUAAACUUGAAACUGCUUUAACGGAUCAGACAUUAGAAAUAUUGACACAUCAUUAAUAUGCAGUUGCUUUGGAGUCACCUGUUUCUCCUGGGUGUAGUACUGGUCCGGUCCACUUCAAGAGCAGAAUACCCAUUACAUACGACAACAAGACCCCCUAUGAGCACAAGAACCCCUACAGACAUAAGAUCCUCUACAGACACAGGAUCACAGCCAAACGAGAACCAGAAGGUCGUUACCACAGCCAAUGACACUCCCACACCCGCUAACACAUCCUCACUCAACUGCACCCAGAGGACUUCCACAGCCCCGCCGCCCACGACCCCGGUCAUAACGGACUCCACCCACACCAGCAGCAAUGCCACGGGUGGCGACAACCCGUCCCAGGACCAGACCACGGUCGUACCCCCGUCAACCGAACCCACUUCGACCGUUACCACAGGGACACCGCAGCUGGUGCAAACCAUCGGCCAAUCAGAGGCAAAGGUGACCACUGCCGCGGGGACAGAUGUCGUUCAGACCACCAUGACAGGCGCACGACAGGGAUCCAGUGAUGCAAUAGGUUACGUAAUCCUGUUCUUCAUAUUAAUGGCCAUUUUCUUUGUGCUGUUUGGUAUCUACUUCCUGAGAAAGAAGUCCAGGAGAUACUCGUUUGACCUGCAACGACCAGGUUACGACCAUGAGACCCCGCUCACUGGCAUGGAACAACCCGGAACCUUUGAACCCACCAAAGAGAAGGCUGGAGGGUUUGAGAGCAUUAGCCAGGGUGGGGCUGAGGGCAGGGCUGAGGAAGACCCCCAGACCCCGGUGCCCAACGGGUCGGCUGGGGAGCCCGACGCCACCAUGUCCCCUGGAGAGAACGCAAUAGAGAAGAAGGAUGAUGAUGAUGAUGAAGACAUCUUCAAUCUCUGCUCUGAGAUCAGUCUGACUCCACCAGUGAAGAGGGUGGGCUUUAGCUUGGACCUGGACCUGAGUGACAAGCUGUCAAACAAGUCAGACGCUGGAGACAAGGAGCAGAAUGCCAACAACAAUAAUGUUGCUAUGGCAAUUUUCCCUGACACUCUUGGCCUGACCUUUGACCCCAUGGGUUCAGUUGGUGUUUUCAGUGACAUCAGUCUGGAUGUAUAGACAGACAGACAGACACACACACCUAAAUUAGUCAGUGGGUAAAAAGGUUCCUCUAUGCCCUAUUUUUUGUAACAUCUCAUCAGGAGCAUGCCCAGAUGUUGUCAGGCAUGCCUACAGGCAUGUGGGGACCAUACACACUACUGAGUAACAAUGUGUUGCCGUGAUGAAAUUCACAGUAGUUACUUUAGCUUUUUGAGUGUGAAUCCAUUCCUCAAUCGGUUGGUGAUUUUGGCUUUCAUUGACCAUUUUUACGUUAUUAUGUUCUCAAUGAAAUACACAAUGUACAGUGAAACUUAGGAUCCUUCAUGUAAUCCCUUCAUCGAGACACCGUGUGAUUUUAGUAAUCCCUUCAUUUUUUUAAAUACUUUUUUUGUGGGUGUUUUUAUGUUAAACAUGAAUUGCAACAAAAGCGGACAAUUUCGGUGUGGUUCUCUUUCAGAAUAAAGUUUUUUCAACCAAGGA
ensembl:lncRNA